GAGCAGGACUCAGCGUCACUUCUCUGCCAACAGCACAAUGAAGAUGGGGAGCCACAAGCGCAGACUGGUUCUGUUACAAGAACCAAUGAAGACAGGUACAUGCAUCAAAGAUUCCUUACUUGGCAAGAAUGCUACUGUUGAUGUUUAUCAUGACAAUGGUGGUGGUGAUGCUGGUGAUGCUGGUGGUGUUGAUGGGGAUGGGGGUGGCAGUGGUGGUGGUGACAUAAUGGAGAUGAUAGAUGAAAUGCUUCUGCUAGUGAUGCUGAUGUGACAUCAUAAUGAUACAGUUUCACUGGUGACAGUGAAGAAUAUGAGGAUGCUGUUGAUGUGUUGAUGAUCAGGUCACAAAGAUGGGGCCAACGACAAUAAUGUGAAGAUGUUGCUGAUGUGAUAAUGUAGAUGCUGAUGAAGUUGAAGCUGACACAAUUAAUGGUAUGAUCAAUGCUGCUGCUGAUUAUGAGGAGGAGGAAGAGGACGAGGACGAGGUGGAUGUUGAUAGCUUACCUUCAUGGGGGUCAUUAGGAUUCUGUAGGUUCUAUUACAACCCCAGCUUCAUUUUGCAGAUGAGUUUGCUGGACAUGGCACCUAAAUAGCUGAACUCUGAGACAUCCGGACUGCUUGUCUCUGGAGAGGUUCUGUAUCUGGAAGGCCAAGUAUGCACUACUUCUCUUCCUGUCUUACAACAGGAAGCAAACAUAGCCAUGGUGGGAUAGCCAGCACAGCCAGGGAACCAGGGAUGUGUGUCCUGCUCACAACAGCCUGUCUUUCUGAGGGACUUUGGGCAGUUGCUCAACCUUUCACUUACAUUUCUCCAUCAGCUCCUGUAUCCUGACCUACUGACUUCCUUUGGUGAUGAACAGCAAUGUGGAAUUGUAA
rnacentral:lncRNA from 1 species